rnacentral:rRNA from 1 species
GACAUCACAAGACUCAAUAUGGGGGAUCACUUAGUCCUUAAAUCGAAGAAAAACAUAGUAAUUUGUGGAAAUUGAUGUGAGUUGUGAAGUUGUGUGAGCAUUGUGUUUUUGAAUGAAAAUUUUAGUAUGGAUGCACUUGUAUCUAUGCUACAUUUGUUUCAGUAUAUAUACAUAUAAUACGUAGUUACUAUUGCUUAGUAGUAAUAGUAAAAAUUAUCUUUGAUCACAAGGGUGAUAAUAAACAUCUCUAUGUUAUGUUUAUCUGAAAUCAAGUGUGACUACCCGCUGAACUUAAGCAUAUCAAUAAGCGGAGGAAAAGAAAUCAAAUGAGAUUUCCAUAGUAGCUGCGAGUGAACUGGAACUAAGCCUAUUGCCAAUUCUUAUGUUUUGUACAAUAAGAAAUGAGGUGUAAAAGUGUUUUGUGUUUAAUAGGAGUACAGCUUAAUUAUUAUUGAGUGGGUGCUCAGAGAAGGUGAAAAGCCUGUGUGGUUGUACUAUCCUGUUGAACCGAAGCUCUAGAGAGUCUAGUUGUUUGAGAGUACAACUUAAAGAUGGUGGUAAAUUUCAUCAAAGGCUAAAUAUAUGAAGGGACUAAUAGCGAACAAGUACCAUGAGGGAAAGUUGAAAAGAACUCUGACGAGAGAGUUCAACAGUACGUGAAACCAUAGUGAGUAAAACAGAUAACUGUGCUGUAAAGUGGUGUGCCUAUCAACAGGGUAGUUGGUUAUGUGAUGCCUUGAGCGUAAGUUGUCCAUUCAACCGAUUGCUCUUGGUUAGCCCUGCCAGAGACUCUGUGCACUAGUGCACACUCAUUCAUUGAGAAACUAUGCCGCUGCGGCAUCGAUAUGGGACAGCUCGUACGUAGUGCGAUGUUCUGUGUUGGGCGUCAUCUAGCCGGUGUAGUUUAGCUGUGGGACAGCUACGGCCUGCGUUUACUAAAUGUAACUGCUGUAUCUGCGAUUUGGUUUAUUCCUUGUUGCGGUGAGCAUGUUACUCUAGGUAAGCAGUCCGCCAUCAAUGGUUAGCAUUAGUUAUUUGACCCGUCUUGAAACACGGACCAAGGAGUUCAAAUGGCACGCGAGUCAUUGGGUCUUAACACCCGAAGGCGAAGUGAAAUGCAAAGGUAUUGUUAUUUGUGGUUGUACCAUGAUUAAGCGAUGAGCUACUUAUGCUUUCUGGCAUUUGUAGACUACAAGCGUGAUGUUUGAGACCCGAAAGAUGGUGACCUAUGCCUAGUCAAGAUGAAGCCAGAGGAAACUCUGGUGGAUGUCUGAAGUUAUUCUGACGUGCAAAUCGAUAAUCUGAUCUGGGUAUAGGGGCGAAAGACUAAUCGAACCAUCUAGUAGCUGGUUCCUUCCGAAGUUUCCCUCAGGAUAGCUAGCGUACACGUUUAGUUUCAUCCCGUAAAGCGAAUGAUUAGAGGUAUUGGGGCGUAUAUAGCCUCAACCUAUUCUCAAACUUUUAAUGGGUGUGAGUGUUAUUUCUCGAUUGAAGAACACUGCUAAAUAAGUAUGCUUAGUGGGCCAUUUUUGGUAAGCAGAACUGGCGCUGUGGGUUGAACCAAUUGUUGGGUUAAAGUGCCAAAAGCUGAAAUGCGCAUGAGAUCUAUAAAGGGUGUUAGUUGCUGAAGACAGCAGGACGGUGGCCAUGGAAGUCGGAAUCCGCUAAGGAGUGUGUAACAACUCACCUGCCAAAGCAACUAGCCCCAAAAAUGGAUGGCGCUAUAGCAUUGUACUUAUACUCAACCUCUGACGUGUGACGCACCGGAGCGCUCAGAGAGUAGGAAGAUAAUGUGAUAGCAUCGAAGGAUGUUGUUGUGAAGCAAUCUGGAGCUGUCACAUGUGCAGAUCUUGGUGGUAGUAGCAAGUACUCAAUUGAAAACCUUGAGCACUGAAGUUGGGGUGGGUUCCACGUGCCUUGGUCCUUGAAAAUUUGAGCGUGGUGAUUAUCUUGGUGGCAGUCCGUACUAAUAUCUGCAGCAGGUCUCCAAGAUGUGAAGCCUUUAGUGUCUAGAUUAAUGUAGGUAAGGGAAGUCGACAAAAUAGUUCUGUAACUUUGGGAGAAGGGAUGGCUCUGAAGGUUGAUCCAGCCAGGUUGACAGUAGAAGUAUUUAUGACAUUGUGUUGUCGCCGGAUGGACUUCAGAACUACUUCAGAACUGGCACGAACUGAGGGAAUCCGACUGUCUAAUUAAAACAAAGCAUUGUGAAGUCCAGUAAUUGGUUAUGACACAAUGUGAUUUCUGCCCAGUGCUCUGAAUGUCAAAGUGAAGAGAUUCUUUGAAGCGCGGGUAAACGGCGGGAGUAACUAUGACUCUCUUAUGGUAGCCAAAUGCCUCGUCAUCUAAUUAGUGACGCGCAUGAAUGGAUUAACGAGAUUCCCACUGUCCCUAUCUACUGUCUAGCGAAACCACAGCCAAGGGAACGGGCUUGGACUGAACGGCGGGGAAAGAAGACCCUGUUGAGCUUGACUCUAGUCUGACUUUGUGAAGAGACAUAGGAGGUGUAGCAUAAGUGGGAGAUUCGUCAUCAAUGAAAUACCACUACUCCUAUUGUUUCUUUACUUACUCAAUGAAGUAAAUAUGGUCAUUCCAUGUUUUAGAAAGAAGCAUAGUAAUUUGUGCGAUUUAUAUUGAGAACAUAGUCAGGUGGGGAGUACGAGAGGAACCGUAGGUUUAGACAAUUGGUUUUGUGUUUGAUUGAAAAAUCAGAGGCACUAAACUACCAUCUAAUGGAUUAUGACUGAACGCCUCUAUGUCAGAAUCCAAUCCAGAGUCCAUAACAUUAGUGUCUGGGAUGUGUAUUGUUUAUUAAAUAGUUGUGCGAGUGCAUAACUGAGCAAUAUGAGCAAAUUGAAAUGAAGACAAUCUGCAAAUGACUUUUAUCAAUCGAAGUGUUGUAAUUUGUAGAGCAGUUACGAUACUGCGAUCUAAUGAGACUUAUCUUCGUAUUGGGCGUUUGCUGUUUGAGAUGAAAUUGGCUUGUUGCCGGGAUGGAAUACCAUUAAUUUUCGUUAUUUUUUGGAUUAGCCACAUUUGGUAGCAUUAAACGCCCGCUUAUGUAUGACAAAAUAUGGUUAUGAAAUAUGUCAGUGGCCUAAUGACGCGGAGAAAGAUAAAAUGCUCGUUUUUGGUUUCAUG